UACGUAGGGGGCGAGCGUUGUCCGGAAUCACUGGGCGUAAAGGGCGCGUAGGCGGCGCGGGUAGUCAACGGUGAAAGCUUGGGGCUCAACCCCGAGUCGGCCGUCGAUACUCCCGCGCUCGAGCACUGUAGAGGCAGGUGGAAUUCCGGGUGUAGCGGUGGAAUGCGUAGAGAUCCGGAAGAACACCGGUGGCGAAGGCGGCCUGCUGGGCAGUAGCUGACGCUGAGGCGCGACAGCGUGGGGAGCGAACAGG
rnacentral:rRNA from 1 species